UCCUAUGAUGGCAUGGAAAUCUUUGAGACCUGAUCGUCAUGUUUGAUGUAAAAUAUAAGCGUUUUUUCUGAGGAU
rnacentral:snoRNA from 1 species